rnacentral:rRNA from 1 species
AUGUGGAUAAAGGGGUCCAAGACUGACUGGAUGGUAAUGAGCAGAAACUGGGGUGCCAACUGGCAGAGCAAUGCCUACCUCAACGGCCAGAGCAUGUCCUUCCGGGUACAGACUGACGACGGUCGGGUCGUCACGGCUGACAAUGUUGCCCCGUCCAACUGGUGGUUCGGUGGCACCUACACUUCGUGGCAGCAGUUCUAA